rnacentral:misc_RNA from 1 species
CGGCAACCCAGGACACUGAGACUGCGUUCAUGUAAAUGCAUAAUUGGAAAUUGUUUCCCUCUGAGUUUACUCACAGUCUGAUCAUGAUGUAUGCCAACUAGUAAAAAGUCUCCAAGCUGCCUAGCAAUCUUGAGAAUCUCAAUAUGCCCUGCAUGAAAAAGAUCAAAAGCCCCAUCAAUGUACACAAUACGAGCAUUUGGUCCAGG